GUAGUUAGCCGUGGCUUCCUCCCCAGGUACCGUCAUUAUCGUCCCUAAAGACAGAGCUUUACAAUCCGAAAACCUUCUUCCCUCACGCGGCGUUGCUGGGUCAGGCUUGCGCCCAUUGCCCAAUAUUCCCCACUGCUGCCUCCCGUAGGAGUCUGGACCGUGUCUCAGUUCCAGUGUGGCCGAUCAGCCUCUCAGCUCGGCUACCCAUCGUCGGCUUGGUGGGCUGUUAUCUCACCAACUACCUAAUGGGACGCGAACCCCUCUAAAAGCGAUAAAUCUUUGACCUCUUCCCGAUGCCGGGUUGUGGUCUUAUGCGGUAUUAGCAGUUGUUUCCACCUGUUAUUCCCCACUCUUAGGCAGGUUGUUCACGCGUUACUCACCCGUGCGCCACUAGAAUUAUCAAUUCCAUCCGAAAACUUCCUUAAUAAUCCCCGUUCGACUUGCAUGUGUUAGGCACGCCGCCAGCGUUCGUCCUGAGCCAGAAUCAAACUCUGA
rnacentral:rRNA from 1 species